GGUGUAAGAUGUGGACGGGGCCUAAUGCUGUUGUGGAACGUCAUCUUGGUUUUUUUUAAAAAAAAUCUUGAAAUAGUGACAAAAGAUGACAAGAGGUUUGUUUUGAUGUUGUGUAGGAUGGAGAGUCUCUUUCUCAAUCUCAUGCAAAUAAACAAAACUAAUUUAAUUAUAAUUACGCUAAGAAUAAAGAAAAAUUAAUAUGACUUCACGUGAUCAAAAGGCAAAAUUGAAUUAAACAACCACAAUUGCAUCUCAAUUUACAAUUACACGAGCUUUAUACAGUAUGUGAAUAAAUGCAUGAUCUUAUGAGGCUCAUGUAGUCAAAAAUCAUCAUAUGAUAUACAAACCACCGGUCAUAACAACGAGAGUAGAUCUCUCCUGCAAUCGCAAAUUGAAAGAAGUUUUUACUUAGGGGA
rnacentral:lncRNA from 1 species